UACGUAGGGUGCAAGCGUUGUCCGGAAUUAUUGGGCGUAAAGAGCUCGUAGGCGGUCUGUCGCGUCGGCUGUGAAAUCCCGAGGCUCAACCUCGGGUCUGCAGUCGAUACGGGCAAACUUGAGUGUUGCAGGGGAGACUGGAAUUCCUGGUGUAGCGGUGAAAUGCGCAGAUAUCAGGAGGAACACCGGUGGCGAAGGCGGGUCUCUGGGCAACAACUGACGCUGAGGAGCGAAAGCUAGGGGAGCAAACAGG
rnacentral:rRNA from 1 species